rnacentral:rRNA from 1 species
AUUGAACGCUAGCGGGAUGCUUUACACAUGCAAGUCGAACGGCAGCGCGGACUUCGGUCUGGCGGCGAGUGGCGAACGGGUGAGUAAUGUAUCGGAACGUGCCCAGUAGCGGGGGAUAACUACGCGAAAGCGUAGCUAAUACCGCAUACGCCCUACGGGGGAAAGCAGGGGAUCGUAAGACCUUGCACUGUUGGAGCGGCCGAUAUCGGAUUAGCUAGUUGGUGAGGUAACGGCUCACCAAGGCGACGAUCCGUAGCUGGUUUGAGAGGACGACCAGCCACACUGGGACUGAGACACGGCCCAGACUCCUACGGGAGGCAGCAGUGGGGAAUUUUGGACAAUGGGGGCAACCCUGAUCCAGCCAUCCCGCGUGUGCGAUGAAGGCCUUCGGGUUGUAAAGCACUUUUGGCAGGAAAGAAACGUCGCGGGCUAAUACCCCGUGGAACUGACGGUACCUGCAGAAUAAGCACCGGCUAACUACGUG